rnacentral:misc_RNA from 1 species
AACGCAUAUGGCACCUUUUGGUCUUUACUGAAAGGUAUGCCUGUUUGAGAAUCAUUUAUCCCUUUGAUCCUUUUGAUCGCACUUGCUUGAGUGCUGAUCCCCUGGUCAAGACAUGGACCUUCAUCACUGAUCGUCUUGAAUCUAUGCACGGAUUGUUCGUGACAAAGAGGCGCACUUGUUGCGCUGUUGCUGUUGAUCGAUCAAUCCAUCCCUCACCAAUGAUCUCAAAUCAGGCAAGACUACCCGCUGAACUUAA